rnacentral:lncRNA from 12 species
ACAGACUCUUCAGAGGAUCCCAGGGACUGGAAGAAAGGAAAGGAGAAGGCUGAGAAAAGCAGUCAGUGGUGCAAUAUAAACUAAACUGGUACACUCUCCUCAAUUCUUGAAGUCUGAGGAUUAAAAAUCUGUGUAAUUCUGCUGGGAUACUCAUGCAUAGGCUCACAGGAGAACAGAUAUUCUCUCUAGAGGAGGAUUCUUCUUCAAAUUUCAUGACAGGAUGGUACUUGAAUCAUGCUCCCUGCCUUGCAGUUACAAAAUACUGCUACCACAGGCUCAGAAGAGAUGCAGAGGAGAUCAGCCCAG